rnacentral:rRNA from 1 species
GAUCCUGGCUCAGGAUGAACGCUAGCUACAGGCUUAACACAUGCAAGUCGAGGGGCAGCAUUUUUAUAGCAAUAUAAAAGAUGGCGACCGGCGCACGGGUGAGUAACACGUAUCCAACCUGCCGAUAACUCGGGGAUAACCCUUCGAAAGAAGGCCUAAUACCCGAUGGCAUAUCCCUUCCGCCUGGUUGGGAUAUUAAAGAACUUCGGUGAUGGAUGGGGAUGCGUCUGAUUAGCUUGUUGGCGGGG